rnacentral:tRNA from 1 species
GGGCCGUUAGCUCAGUUGGCAGAGCACCUGACUUUUAAUCAGGGUGUCACAGGUUCGAGACCUGUACGGCCUACCA